GUGCCCUUUCUGAAGUGCAAAUGGAGGUCUCUGGCCCCACAGGAGGAAAGGUCUCAGAGUCUCUCACUCUCACCUGCCACAUCUCUGGUGUACCCAUCAGCGACAGCAGCUACGCUUGGGACUGGGUCCGUCAGACUCCUGGCAGUGGCCUGCAGCAUAUAGCGUUGCAGUAUCCUUUCACGGGACUCCAGCACAUUGCUUCGUCCUUCCAGAUGCAAGUCACCAGCUCUGCAGACCCUUCAAGGAACCAACUGUUGCUGGAAGUGCUCUCCCCAUCAGCUGCAGACAUGGCCACCUAUUUCUGCAGCAGCAGAGAGCUGGAAAAGGGCACAGUGCUUGAAACGCAGGCAGGGCCAGGGCAGAAAAGGAAGGACAAGUUUUACAUCCAGUCAG